rnacentral:rRNA from 1 species
CCUACGGGUGGCUGCAGUGAGGAAUAUUGGUCAAUGGGCGCGAGCCUGAACCAGCCAAGUCGCGUGAGGGAAGACGGUCCUAUGGAUUGUAAACCUCUUUUGCCGGGGAGCAAAAGACGCCACGCGUGGCGUUCCGAGAGUACCCGAAGAAAAAGCAUCGGCAAACUCCGUGCCAGCAGCCGCGGUAAUACGGGGGAUGCGGGCGUUAUCCGGAUUUAUUGGGUUAAACGGGUGCGCAGGCGGAAGAUCAAGUCAGCGGUAAAAUUGAGAGGCUCAACCUCGUCGAGCCGUUGAAACUGGUUGGCUUGAGUGAGCGAGAAGUAGGCGGAAUGCGUGGUGUAGCGGUGAAAUGCAUAGAUAUCACGCAGAACUCCGAUUGCGAAGGCAGCAUACCGGCGCUCAACUGACGCUCAUGCACGAAAGUGUGGGUAGCGAACAGGAUUAGAUACCCGGGUAGUC